rnacentral:rRNA from 1 species
AUUGAACGCUGGCGGCCGGCCUAACACAUGCAAGUCGAACGAGUGGCGGACGGGUGAGUAAUGUCUGGGAAACUGCCUGAUGGAGGGGGAUAACUACUGGAAACGGUAGCUAAUACCGCAUACCAUCGGAUGUGCCCAGAUUGGAUUAGCUAGUAGGUGGGGUAAAGGCUCACCUAGGCGACGAUCCCUAGCUGGUCUGAGAGGAUGACCAGCCACACUGGAACUGAGAGACGGUCCAGGCUAAUACGGGAGGCAGCAGGGGGGAAUAUUGCACAAUGGGGGAAAGCCUGAUGCAGCCAUGCCGCGUGGAUGAAGAAGGCCUUCGGGUUGUAAAGUACUUUCAGCAGGGAGGCGUUACCCGCAGAAGAAGCACAGGCGAACUCCGUGCCAGCCGCCGCGGUAAUAC